rnacentral:rRNA from 1 species
GUCUACGGCCAUGCCACCCUGAACAAGCCCGAUGUCUGAUCUUGGAAGCUAAGCAGGGUCGGGCCUGGUUAGUACUUGGAUGGGAGACCAUCUAGGAAGACCAGGUGCUGUAGGCA